CCCGCGGGCGCUUGCUCGCGGCCCGACCUCCUGGCACCCAAGUUCCCUGAACCUUCUCUGGGCCUCGGCCCAGACCUCUCCCACGCAGCAGCACCCGGGACAGCCCAGGGGGAUGGCCCGCACCGCCUGGCCAGGUCUCGCAGGUCCACAGAAGGCUGGGGACCUGACCACAUCCUGCCAGGCCCCAGGCCAUGCACCUGCUCCUUGCAGCCUGGUGCCCAUCAGAGAUAGAGGCUGCUCUGGGGGUUCUGAUACCAGGCGCUGACCCCACCCAGGGUGGGACACCUGAUUACAGAGACCGGAGGCCCCAGGAAGGGAGCUUCAAGACACAUAUAUGCCAUGUGCUCACAGGCAUGUGCAUACAUGCCCUUGCACACGCUGCCCCCCCCCGGAGGGGGCAGGAGACAGUGUAGCACCUGCAGAUGGAGCCUGACCCUUUGAGUCCUGGGAAUCCUGGGUCUUCCUCUCCGUCCGGCGAAGCCCACUCUCCACUGCAUCUUGAGAAGGGUUCGUGAUGGUGACAGUGAGUCUGAGCUCUGGCACCUCCUCAGACAUCUUUAUCCCCCCCCGGGGGGGGUCCUGCUGGGUGUGGAAUGUGACAUCCAGAUGCGCUCCACCACCCACUCUCCCACUCCCGUGCUGCCGAGACGUGGGUGUCUGUGUGCGUUUGCCCAGGAGUAAAUCCCGGCAGAGGCUUUGGAAGCAAUUUCACUGGGAGACCGAGGGGAGGACAGAGGAAACGCCCCCCAUCUGCACCCCCCACCGAGGGAGACAGGCUCCCCCCCUGGAGUUCACUCCGCGUCCCUGGCCCACUGUACAAACGAGGGAUUCCAAGAGCGGCAUGGUUCCCACCACACCAGAGAUGGAGGCUCCUCAGACCCCUGCUAGGCUGUCGCAGACCGUCCCGCGGGACGCAGGUGCCUAUCUGUGGGAUUCACACCUGUCUGGAGCAUCUUCUUCCAGCGGCUGGCGCUCUGCUCCCCGGAGCAAACAACUCCUUUCCAAACUUACGUUCUCCUCCCUUAUGGUGGCUGUAAUUUCCCCCGAAUCCCAAACAGAGUCCCACAGUUCACAGUGUCUUUCUGACACUGCCCCGCAGACAGGCGACUCAAGACAGCACAGUGGACGGAGGCCGCCACAGCCACUGACCCCUCCGCGGGGGCCUGUGGGAACCGGGGGGGUUUUACCAGCAGACCCUCCGCCACGCGGCUUCUCUCUCCAUCAUCUCAGCCCGUGUUCGGAGCCAUAAACGCAGCGUGAGCCUGAAAGAGGUCUCGAAACCAAGCCCCGGAGAUGCACCUGGCUCCCAAGCGGCCUUCCGGGGCCCAGGCCACUCUGGACACCGUCGGGUGUGAGGCUUCCUGGCAUCACAGAAGCAGCAAGUUAGGAGUUCCCACUGUGACCAAGUGGACUCGUGAUCCUCUUGCCUCUGUGGAGGAGCAGGUUCCGUCCUUGACCCAGGAGCUUCCAUGUGCCGCGGCGGUGGCUGGAGCAGGGGAAAAAGCAGCAGCAAGUGCGAUGGGAAGGAGGGGGUGACGGGAUGUGGGGACAAAGGGAAAAAUCGCCCGUGAGACUCUAAUGACAAUGAGGUGCCACAAGCCGGGGAGGGGACCACCCCGCCCCACCCCCAGCCCCGCACCCAAGACCGUGUCAGGGGGGAAGAGGGGGCGGCACCGCCAGCUAAAGCCCCCCAUGCCAACCAACAGCCUGAAAGAUUUUUCGGCGCAUGAGGGUAGCAGCACUGGAGACGGUUGGGACGAUGAAGACGGCGACCGUCGGGCGGCAAAGGUCCCUGGGGUCUUCAAGGCAGGAAAGCCCACGUUUCCGAUCCAGGUUCAUCAGAAAGAUGCAAAGCGAGCGGCUGUGGGUGGAAAGCUACAGACUUUCGUUGUCUAAAGCCUGCCUUUUGCGGGACGGUGGCCACCUGGCAGUAGCGGCUAAGGAGACGUCUUGAUGCCUUUCCAGCUUCAGUAAGAAGAGGACUGCAGCAUCUCGGGGCUGAGGGACCACGAGCCCAGCUGUGCCCAGAGCUCGCCC
ensembl:lncRNA